AGUAGCAAUUAUUAAGCAGAGAGAAAAUGUGUGGCAGACAAUUGCAGACCGACUGAAUGCGUAAGUAUCCUAAUCUAAAAAUAUACACUUCCUGCGCAAAUGAAUCUGUCAUAAUUACAAUUAAAGUUCCCUUCACAAAUUAACAGUUGUACACACUACAUAAUGUAUUAGAAGUCAGUGAUGUGGUGCUCAUAGAAAAUAUAUUUGUAGCAGGACACAGAUGCUGAACAGCCUGACAGCCUGCCUGGAAAUAUAGUGAGUAUUGCCAAUUGCUGUGCUAAUAGAUAUGUGUUUUACAGAAUUCACAAACUGUCAGACAGCUAUAUGCAAGUCAUCUGAGGAAGCAGAUAGUGCUGGCAGAUGUCAAGCUCCAGUGUGAAAAGAGGAAGCUGCAGGACAUGGAGCUUGACAGACAAAUAAAAAAAAACUUAAGGAAACUGGAAAUUAAGAAACUACAGAAAGAACUCAAAGCAGACACUGACUCAUUACAGUAUUUUUCAUCUAAAUAAAACGAGGUCAAAGAA